rnacentral:rRNA from 1 species
CUACGUGCCAGCAGCCGCGGUAAUACGGAAGGUCCGGGCGUUAUCCGGAUUUAUUGGGUUUAAAGGGAGCGUAGGCCGGAGAUUAAGUGUGUUGUGAAAUGUAGACGCUCAACGUCUGACUUGCAGCGCAUACUGGUUUCCUUGAGUACGCACAACGUUGGCGGAAUUCGUCGUGUAGCGGUGAAAUGCUUAGAUAUGACGAAGAACUCCGAUUGCGAAGGCAGCUGACGGGAGCGCAACUGACGCUUAAGCUCGAAGGUGCGGGUAUCAAACAGGAUUAGAUACCCUGGUAGUCCGCACAGUAAACGAUGGAUGCCCGCUGUUGGUACCCGGUAUCAGCGGCUAAGCGAAAGCAUUAAGCAUCCCACCUGGGGAGUACGCCGGCAACGGUGAAACUCAAAGGAAUUGACGGGGGCCCGCACAAGCGGAGGAACAUGUGGUUUAAUUCGAUGAUACGCGAGGAACCUUACCCGGGCUUGAAUUGCAGAGGAAGGAUUUAGAGAUA